UCAUCCAAGCCAUUUUCAUUCAUUUGGAAGCAUUCGAAGAUUGGGAGGCAUUCGAAGAUUAAGAGCAUUCAAGAGAUCAAGAUGAGUAGAAGAUUUUUGAAGUGAAGAUCAAGCGGCAAUGAAGUUCGUGAUCAAGAUCAAGCAGUAGCGAAGAUCGUGAUUAAGCGGCAGCGAAGUUUGUGAUCAAGAUAUCAAGCGAAGUUGUACAAAAUAAUUUAUACACAUAAAUUUCUAGUCGAAAUUUCUUGACUUGAAAAUUAUGAGACAAAUAUAAAUAUUUGACGAUGUGAGUUAUAAUCUCUGAAAAAUUCUCUAAUUAAUUUCUUCACUUCGUCUUUAAGAGUCACGAACUCAGACUUAGUCUUGAUCACGAACUUCGCUUCAAGGAUCUUAACGACUUAAUCUUGAUCACGAACACUUGAUAUCUUGCUCACAAACUUCGUUUGAUCUUCACUUCAAGGGUCUUAACGACUUAAUCUUGAUCACAAACACUUAAUAUCUUCACUUCAAGAAUCUUCACGACUUAAUCUUGAUCAUGAACUUCGCUUGAUAUCUUGAUCAUGAACUUCACUGUCGCUUGACCUUGAUAACGAACUUCGUUGCCACUUGAUCUUAAUCACAAACUUCGUUGUCGCUUGAUCACGAACUUCGUUUUUGCUUGAACACGAACUUUGCUGCUGCUUGAUCUUGAUCACAAACUUUGUUGCCACUUGAUUUUCACUUUAGAAAUCUUCUACUCUUCUCGAUCUUUGAAAUGCUCUCUAUCUUCCAAUGUCUCCCAAUCUCAGAAUGCUUCC
rnacentral:lncRNA from 1 species